AACGAACGCUGGCGGCAUGCCUAACACAUGCAAGUCGAACGAGACCUUCGGGUCUAAUGGCGCACGGGUGCGUAACGCGUGGGAACCUGCCCUUAGGUUCGGAAUAACUCCCCGAAAGGGGUGCUAAUACCGGAUAAUGUCUUCGGACCAAAGAUUUAUCGCCUUUGGAUGGGCCCGCGUUGGAUUAGCUAGUUGGUAGGGUAAAAGCCUACCAAGGCGACGAUCCAUAGCUGGUCUGAGAGGAUGAUCAGCCACACUGGGACUGAGACACGGCCCAGACUCCUACGGGAGGCAGCAGUGGGGAAUAUUGGACAAUGGGCGAAAGCCUGAUCCAGCAAUGCCGCGUGAGUGAUGAAGGCCUUAGGGUUGUAAAGCUCUUUUACCCGGGAUGAUAAUGACAGUACCGGGAGAAUAAGCUCCGGCUAACUCCGU
rnacentral:rRNA from 1 species